UUCCACUUUGACAUUUAAUUUUUAAUAUUUGUUUAUUUUUUAUUUUAUUUAACCUUUUAUUUAAACUAGGCAAGUCAGGACGGCAUGUAGCCUAGUGGUUAGGGCGUUGGGCCAGUAACCAGCAGGUAGCCUAGUGGUUAGAUCGUUGGGCCAGUAACCAGCAGGUAGCCUAGUGGUUAGGGCGUUGGGCCAGUAACCAGCAGGUAGCCUAGUGGUUAGGGCGUUGGGCCAGUAACCAGCAGGUAGCCUAGUGGUUAGAGCGUUGGGACAGUAACCAGUAGGUAGCCUAGUGGUUAGAUCGUUGGGCCAGUAACCAGCAGGUAGCCUAGUGGUUAGAGCGUUGGGCCAGUAACCAGCAGGUAGCCUAGUGGUUAGAGCGUUGGGCCAGUAACUAGCAGGUAGCCUAGUGGUUAGAGCGUUGGGCCAGUAACCAGCAGGUAGCCUAGUGGUUAGAUCGUUGGGCCAGUAACCAGCAGGUAGCCUAGUGGUUAGAUCGUUGGGCCAGUAACCGAAAGGUUGCUGGAUUGAAUCCUCGAGCUGACAAGGUCAAAAUCUGUCGUUCUGCCCCUGAACAAGGCAGUUAACCCACUGUUCCCCGGUAGGCCAUCAUUGUAAAUGAGAA
ensembl:lncRNA